CUGGCGGCGUGCCUAAUACAUGCAAGUCGAACGCACUCUCGUUUAGAUUGAAGGAGCUUGCUCCUGAUUGAUAAACAUUUGAGUGAGUGGCGGACGGGUGAGUAACACGUGGGUAACCUGCCCUAAAGUGGGGGAUAACAUUUGGAAACAGAUGCUAAUACCGCAUAAAACCUAACACCGCAUGGUGUAGGGUUGAAAGAUGGUUUCGGCUAUCACUUUAGGAUGGACCCGCGGUGCAUUAGUUAGUUGGUGAGGUAAAGGCUCACCAAGACCGUGAUGCAUAGCCGACCUGAGAGGGUAAUCGGCCACACUGGGACUGAGACACGGCCCAGACUCCUACGGAGGCAGCAGUAGGGAAUCUUCCACAAUGGACGAAAGUCUGAUGGAGCAACGCCGCGUGAGUGAAGAAGGUUUUCGGAUCGUAAACUCUGUUGUUGGAGAAGAAUGUAUCUGAUAGUAACUGAUCAGGUAGUGACGGUAUCCAACCAGAAAGCCACGGCUAACUACGUG
rnacentral:rRNA from 1 species